UCAGUGUGAAGAGAUAGAUAAAGUAGAAAACCUUCCAAGAAAAAAUUGUUAUUCACACUUGACUCUAUUUCGUAAUUAUUUAUAGAGGACAAUAGGCCUAUAGAGUAUAGAGACAGAUGUGUCGGAAAAUUACAAACUUUCUUAUUUCAUAAUGUGAUUGAAUGUGUUGUCAUUGUAUGAGAAUGUCAAAAUCGUUUGUUUAAUACGGAUAAUGAGGGUCAAAAUGUAUUUAUUUACGUUACCGUAUUGAAUUGUUUUUCGUCUUUAAUUUUAGAAGUCGGGGCUGCCAGCAUAUUAGGUGAAAAUGAACAACAGUUUGGAGUAUUAUCAUCAUGGCAUGUGUUAGUGUUGUGUAUUGUGUCUUCAGUGGUUGUGAUAUGUUUAGCUGUAUUUGUGUUAUUAAAUUGUGGAGACUGUUAUAAUUCAGAAGUUGGAAGUAUGAAUCAUCCAGCAAGUGGUGGUUCAACUGGAACUCAGACAGCUAAUGUAAAAUGGGGAGGAAGCGAUGGAUAUGUUCCUCAUUCAUACGGAGAAGUUGUGAAUCGAAGCAACAGCGAUGCCAAUCUUCCUUACUCAGCAGCAUUUUCGUCAUCUCCAAAUAGAAACGAAUCAGCAUCGUUUCAGGGAUUUUCUACAGAACCAUCAGCACCUGUGGCACCUGGUGACAGCAAUAGACAUUAUAAUCCUUUACUUGACAGUCAAGAACCCCCACCACCUUACAGUGAACUUAAUGCAUGAUAAACAAUACUUUAUUACACUGAUCUCCCUGUUGGUUUUCUAUUACAAUUUUGAAAGCUUUAAUUAGACUGGAAUGCUGCUUAAACAACUUUAUUGUUCAACUUGUAAAUUGAGGUUGCCCCUCUCAGCAAAGUCAACCAUUUAACCUGUUAAUGACCCCAAAGCAAGCAAGCAUUACAGAAUACAGUGGACUCUGUCAAUUCCGACAUCGUACAGGAUCGAUACAAUAUGCCAGAUUAGAUAAGAUGUCAGAACACUCAAUUAUACUGGAAGUAUUAUUGUACCUUCGAAUACCAAAAGUUUUAUUAUAAUGCACCCUCGAAUACACAGAACUUAAAAUAUGAUAAAGCUUUCUGUACAUUCAAAAUUUUAUUACAUUAUAUCAAACAACUGCAUAACAAUUUACUCUGAAUAUAUAUAAUCGUUGCUAAAUAGCACUUGUCAUCCAAGCCUUAUUAUUGGCCGACCAAUUUACUGACAGGUUGUGUUUUCCCAUGCGUUUAAAAUGUCGGAUACUGCAGUACGGCCAAUUGAAUACUUAUACCAAGAGAUUAUAAAAUUAUCAAGGUAAUCAACAAAGACCAACACGUGUUUUAUGCUCCCAGAUAAUUGAUUGGUGAUUGCUUGCCGGUUAACACCCAUUGAUUGGAGGCCGGAUUAUCCAAUGUUAAUUGUAUGCAAAUCGUGUGACGGGACUGCUGAUUGAUGACGUAAUUUCGGAAUAUUUAGAAUCCGGAUUACUCAAAACUUUUUUGGUUGAAGUAAUAAGGAAAUAAAUCGGGACAUGAAAAUGAUGACGGAUUUCACAGAAUGCUGUAGUAUUAAAAUGUCGGAAGUGACAGUCCACUGUACAUCAUAUUACCAGUUCACUUUUCAAAAGAAUAUUAGCCUACCAGUAUAAUGAUAAUGAUGCCUGGUUGACGGAGGCAAAAUUUCCUCCAUUGGUAGAAACUUUGUAAUAGGAAUAUUCUUUAACAAGGUAGGACUGUGUAUGGUUCCAUGUCACUGUGUUUUAAGAUAUUUUAAACAUAUUACUUUAAAAAAUGCCACUAUCGCUUUAAAGAAUACAGAAGUUAUUUCAUUGCACAACAUACCUAUAGAGAAAUUCCAGAAAUAUUUGAGUGAAUACAACUGUUUCUUUUGUGUGAUAAGACUUAGAAACUAUUAUUAAAUCAUCUCCAACUCUCUCUUGUUUUAAACCAAGACUUAAAACCCAUCUUUUUGAGAAAUGUUAUGAUUAAUCGAAUUAAUUAACUGUAUGCGCUGUGAGCAUGCCUCUGUGCAUGGAGUACUAGCGCCAUAUAAAUGUACAUAUUAUUAUUAUUAUAUUUUAAAUGAAAUGUAAUCUUUCUGCUGCAAACUUCAACUGUUUUUUGUGUGAUAAGACUUAGAAACUUAUUUUAAAUGAAAUGUAAUCUUUCUGCUGCAAACUUCAAAUGGCUGCUACUUUUGAAUGAUUAAAUGCAUAAUAAUACUAAUAUGCAGUUUUUCUACAGUAAACAUAGAGACCUGUUUGAUUCAUAUUUUUAUUGAGAUGGCCCAAUGUUUAGUUCCUGAUUGAAUGGGGAGUUUAUUGCUGAUCUGAAUUUUGAAAUGAUUUUGUCAUUUGUGGAUGGAGAAUUAACACAGAUGUCUAAAAUAAAAUAUAUAACUGUGAGCCUUUAAACCAUAUUUAGGAAUACUGUUAUUAAAACACUCACACUUCUAUAAAACUCUCACAUGAAUACAUGUAUACAAUGUGAUCUGUAAUUUAAAACCCAUUUUGAAGAUCUCUGCAAUUGUUCUAUUUGAGAAAUGUUAAUGUUACAACCAGUGUUCUCAGCAUUACCAUUUUUCAUAAUUACCCACCAAGCAUGAGUAUAUUAUUAUGAAUCUCACAUUAUUGUAUCUAUGUCUUCACAUUAUUGUAUCUAUGUCUUAUAUUGAUAUUUAUUUUCUCACCCUGAAUUUUUAUUAAUUCACCUAACCCAACUGUGAUCAUUUUAAUAUUUUUGAUAAAUGUAUGCCUGGCUGGCUGAUGCCACAAUUGGUCCCAAGACAAAUGGUUGUGUAGACUUGAACCUGAAGACAAUGUGUCCCCUGAUUAUCAAUUAUCUUGUCUCAGGGCCAAUUGGUGGUUCCAUUUGUUAUGUAUAUAUAUGGCUUUUUCACUUUUUAUAUAAAUAAAAGAAAUUUAUUAUCUAUAA